GACGAACGCUGGCGGCGUGCUUAACACAUGCAAGUCGAACGGAAAGGCCCUGCUUUUGUGGGGUGCUCGAGUGGCGAACGGGUGAGUAACACGUGAGUAACCUGCCCUUGACUUUGGGAUAACUUCAGGAAACUGGGGCUAAUACCGGAUAGGAGCUCCUGCUGCAUGGUGGGGGUUGGAAAGUUUCGGCGGUUGGGGAUGGACUCGCGGGUUAUCAGCUUGUUGGUGGGGUAGUGGCUUACCAAGGCUUUGACGGGUAGCCGGCCUGAGAGGGUGACCGGCCACAUUGGGACUGAGAGACGGCCCAGACGCCUACGGGAGGCAGCAGUGGGGAAUAUGGCACAAUGGGCGGAAGCCUGAUGCAGCAACGCCGCGUGCGUGAUGACGGCCUUCGGGUUGUAAACCGCUUUCGCCUGUGACGAAGCGUGAGUGACGGUAAUGGGUAAAGAAGCACCGGCUAACUACGUG
rnacentral:rRNA from 1 species